rfam:Stegodyphus mimosarum contig29408, whole genome shotgun sequence.
GUCUUCGUGGUGUAGUGGUCAGCACGCUUGACGUGUAUUCGAGAGGUCCGUGGUUCGAGUUCCAUCAAGGGCA